rnacentral:lncRNA from 1 species
GGUGCCCAGUGGCUAUUUUUCUCAUGCACCGCAUACUGCAUGCCUCAUAAUAAUGCAUAAGUUUUAGGUAUUCCAACAAGAUCUGGGAGAUUAGCGAUUAUUGGAAGUUGAUGGAGCUUCUCUUGCAAGAUUCUUGAUAUAAUAUUUAGGAUCUGAAUCCUCCUUGUCCGAAAGUAAUCAUUUAGAGUCUCCUAUAAUUUCCAGUUCUUUCUACGAAGGUCCCAUGGAGAGUGCAUUUGAUGGGGUUGAAUUGCCAUCAAAACAGACCGCCAAAGUGG